UACGAAGGCCCCAAGCGUUAUCCGGAAUUACUGGGCGUAAAGCGUCUGUAGGUGGUUUGGAAAGUUUCAAGUCAAAGGUCAGGGCUCAACCCUGUACUUGCUUGGAAAACUAUCGAACUAGAGUACGGGAGAGGCAAGCAGAACUGUAUGAGUAGGGGUGCAAUCCGUUGAUACAUACAAGAAUACCAAAAGCGAAGGCAGCUUGCUAGAACGUUACUGACACUGAGAGACGAAAGCGUGGGGAGCAAAAGGG
rnacentral:rRNA from 1 species